AAUCAAUUAUUUAGAAGAAUGUAUUUUUUUUCUAGAGAUUUAUCCGAUGCGGCGGAGGAUAUUUAUAUAAUUCGGCGGAGGAGAUUUAUCCGAUAUAGCGGAGGAGAUGUCAGGGUUUUUUAUUUUUAUUUUCGAUAAUUUUUUACGGAUAUAAUAAAAAAAUAUUAUUUUUAAUAACGUGGAGCCUCCAUGGAAGAGAAGUUUAAAAAACGUCAUCAAUAUUAAG
rnacentral:lncRNA from 1 species